UCUGUUGCGCCGCAUAGACAAGUUAGGUUUUGGAACGCUUUUCAUGUCCUAAGGAAUUUUUUGAUAGUACAAUUCACAUUUCACGUUAUACAGCUGUACGUUUGUGUGAACCUUUUCAUAGUAGAUUCAUGUUCUCUACAGUUCGAUUUACGUGUUAUUUAACCGCCUGUGAUCUUACAAUCAGAUAUUUGCACAACCAGUUGCAGCUUCAUGUAACUGGUUGUAUGAGACUUUUUUCAAAAUAUGACGUGAUCUUUUUAUAUCACAAGUUUGCAGUUUCAGCAGGGAUUGCAAUAAAUAAGUAUUUAUUAUUGUUUAGGGAUGGCAAGAUUUUGUGAACCAGAGGCACCUCCACAUAUGCACCUGCGGCACUUCUGCAGCCUCAACAGCACGGAAAAGUACCUGAUGUGCAUGCUGUGACAAGCUGCUGUAGGUAUGGCUGGACCUGGAGAAGAAGUGUAAGCAGACCAUGCUAUGUUGCUGAUCUGCGCUGAUCUCCACAUCCAAGUUGGUCCCGCGACAGUUGGGCACCAUUGUGCCUUGCUUCAUUGACAAGGUGAUAUAAUGUGGUGCCCUGCUCGCUCUCACCCAAGCAACCCACUCCAGCGGUCUUCUCUCGGCAGACUGGAUGCAUCGAAAUACCGUUAGAAGGUCCAAUAAACAGUGCUUUGGACAUUUA